UGUCAAAGUUUGUGUCAGUCACUUGGUGGAGAAGGGUGAAUUUUACCCAUCAAGUGCUGAAAAGCUUGUUUUUGUCACUACUUUCACAUCUUUGCAGGGUCGGAUUAAAGGAAAAGGAGAUGGAUUUCAGUGGAGAUGAACAUCAGGCAUAGGUCGUGGAUAUCGAAGGGGACUUCUACAAUCUUUGAGUACCCAUGCUUCUUGAAUAUGCCAAGUGUGAAAGAUUGAGAAAUUGAAAGCUGAAGCUACCAUGGAAAGGAAUGACUUUGCAUCUCUUAUAGAGGGGAUGGAAGACCAAGCAAAUGGUAUGUAUGUGUGAACUCUUUACUUACACACAUCUCUUGUGUAUAAUUUAUUAUAACAAAUAUUCAUUAAUAUAUGAC